GAGAGUAAAGCAACCUGGGUUUUAAGUGCCCUGACACAUUCUUGUUAUGACUAGAAAUGUUUUGAUGAUAAGAGAUGAGUAGUUUUGCUGAAAUUAGGAGAACUGGUGAUCCACUAGAAGUCACUAUAGGUUAAGUGCUUUGUUUGAAGUUAGCUAUAAAAGAUUAGGUGAAGGAAUAUGCUCUGGAGCAGUCCAAGGAAGCUUUCUGUGGGCAAGGAUCUGACAGCUAAAUUCCCCAGCAGCUAGCCAGAAUGCAGGGUCCCAUGGAAGGCUGACCACUGAUCCCUCGGAACCAUUUCUUAACUCUGGUUCCCUUGGGAAAGAAGAAACAAAAGGACCUUGUGAGAGGAUUAAAAAAAGAUGUAUAUCAAAGAGACAAAUUGACUCAUAAAUGGUGGUAGAACACACUGUAAACUCUUGGGUAGAGCUGUUGAAAAUAAGAAGAAAGCCUUAUCUAACUAAUGAGACAAGGUAGGUGAGGUAAUAUCUUUCAUUUGACCAAAGUUACUACCUUUCCCAGACCGGAAGACGAGGUCUGUGUAAGCUCAAAAGCUUGUCUCUUUCACCAACAGAAUUUGGUCCACACUAAGAUCCACAUGUAUCCACUUUGGAGUGGAUCUUUGGAUUACAUAUGGAUGUAGUGAACAACACUAGCCUGCCCCUAACUUGUGCAGAACACCACCUGAGAAAAGCAGCGGCCAGAAUUCUUUCUAUGUCUCUAGGCAACAGCAAAGUCAUUCUAUCAUGUCAGGUCCUGAAAGCUCAUGGAUCCCACCAAAUUCCAAAGUGUACUCCAUAAUGAUGACAGAUUACCAACAAAACAAGAUGCUGCAGAGCCAGUGAGUCACUGUGACCACACACUUGCCAUCACCUCAACACAAUGGUUAUGGAAUGGCCCUUUUCUCUACAUAUCACACACACAUCUGGACGGCUCUUGGAUGACUUGAGGCAGAUGAAGAGAAGAGGGUGGUAAAUGUAGAGUCAAUGACAGAAACCUUGGGCUGAGACAGAUUUAAAUGCCAAGAAUUAUGACAAGUCUAUGCUGAGGCUAUGUUUCAGGCUAAGAGAACAUUUUUCUUCUCCUCCGUAGCAAAAAUUCUUUGCAAAGAGCUAUUAUAGUUGCUUAACCACCUCUUCAAUCCAGCCUGCAGUCUGUAAAAUAAUACAGCACCACUCAGUGCAAAGAGCUAUUGUUUCACUUACAGAACAGGAUAUCAUCUAAUCAAAUACACUCUAAGUAUCAUCAGCAAAUUCAAAGAGGAAACAGCUCGCUGUGGGAGUGUUACAGAGAGCUCAAACCCAUGCAGCAAAGUGUUAUUUUCAUAGACUCAUGGAAAUGUAGGGCUGGAAGGGACAUCAAGAGGUCAUCUUGUUCAGCCCGCUAUGCUGUUCAUCACAGCUGGCCCUCAGCAUGGAAUUCAUUCCUGGCAGAAUGAAGAAAGCUCACAAAUCUUACCACACUUUCAGAUCCAAAUGCAAAACACUGCUUUAGUUGUGCUUUCCAUAAAACAACGUAUAUAUUUACAGGUACAAUACAAAAACUAAACAACCAAUGAUGUAACUUACUCCCAUCGUUAACUUUGAUAAUCUAAGUCUGGUUUUAAGCUCUGGAAGGAGGUCUGAUACCACCAGGAUUGGUAAAAUAUAAGAAUCAAAAGAGAAUUAAGGAAUCAAAAUUUCUUUUUUCUGGGGGUGUUGAAUUUGCAAUGAUGUGAUGUUAUACAUAUUUAUCCUCAAUUACUAGCCCACUGGGUUAAAUCUAUACAAAUGCUUCUUGAACCACACACCAUUAGUUACUCUGACAGUUAAUACCACUUAUGCAGUGUUUUAGAUAAUCAAAGUGUUAUGCAUUAAAUAAUUAUUCCUCAUUGUUCCUUCCUUCUAUGACAUUUCCAUAUGAGAGUCUCGGUGCUUUCAGACUUUAACAUAAGGCAGCUCACAAUUCCUGGGUGAGGUAAGUGAGUAUUAUCCCUACAUAUUGAUGGAAAACUUAGGCACAGAGUUAGAUCGAUUUUCCUAACACCAUGUACCAAGUCAGUGGCAGAGCAUGAAUUAGAACUUAAGUGUAACUCACCUCCACCUCAACUCUCUGUCCUUUUCUAUGGGGGCAGAUCUUUGCAAGUAGUAUUACCACUUGUCUCUUUCAAUAAAUUAUGUGCAAUCAGUAGAGCAUGAGAUUUCUUCAUAAAAACUAUCCAGUGUUUUGCAAAUAUCUGAAUUCCAUGGGAGAACCUGUCCAUAUAAAUAUAAAGAGCACUUUGGGGUUCAGAAGGAUCUAUACCUGUUCAGAGUUUUAUAACAGCACAUCUCAUCAGCAUAACAAAGUAAAAUAUCUCCUUUUGUACCUGGCUUUGUUGACUGAUUGGAGAUUCAGCCAACUGGUACAUGGCCAGCAACUUAAGGAGUUAUGCAGGUUCUAAGAGUAUUUUCUACCCCCAACAUUGUUCAAACUUGUUUUUAUGCUGAUUAAAUUUUAUUUUGUCCUUCAUUAACUCUCCAUACAUAAAAUAAGGUAAGAAUUAUAAACUUUAUUAUUCCUCUUAUGUGAUCACAUAUUAGUUAGCAUUCCUGCAGAUAGAGAGUAGAUAGAUUAAUAUUUAUUUUUAUUUACAUUUUAUUAUUUCUACAUGCAUAAGCAUACACCCUUUGAAAAGCAUGCAGAUAGAUUCCAGUUGACCCAAAGUCAACUGUGAGACUUUCCCAACCCAUACAACCAAAAAAGUGGGAGCCACAUGUGCAGGUGAGGGAAGAAGGUUCCCCUCAGAAAAAGGCUUCAUCAUCGUCACUAGCAAGUACUAUCUGGUCUGUGAUCUCAUUGUUACAUUCCAGGAGAGUUUGUCGGAGUGUAAGACAGGUGCCAUUACACCCAGGGUACUGGCUGAAGAAAAACUAUUCAGAAUGACUUGAGCACUGGAGAGAAAAUAGAUAAGUAUUUUAUUUUCCAAGUGUAGUAAGAAAGAUUUUCUGUGGGAGGGAAGGUUUCUGGGUAAAAAUGUUUCUCUUUUAUGCUCAAGAUGUCUGACAAAAUGGGAAAGAAAAAAAAUAACUUUCAGCAGUAACUUCAGUGCAUUUCUUUUCUCCUCAGGCUCCAGAUCUUGACUUCAUGGAUCUGUCCAGGACACUUAUAUGUCUGUUAUUCCAGCAUGAUUUAUUUUAUGUAUAUUGCUGAGGCACGUGGAAUGAUCCUCAUGACAUCAAAUGCUAGGCAACUUCCCUGGAGGAGCAACAGCGUGGCCUAAGAAUCAAUUAUCUGAAGGUUCAGAGAGAGAGAGAGAGGAAACUGAAUAAGUGCAAUAAGAAAAAGUUCAAGUCUGUUAAGCAGACAUCCCUUUCUCCUGCUUAAAAAGGAAAGCACUUUAUAUGCAAGCAAAUCUUGCUCUAUUGCCUAGAAAUAUGAAACAAGCAAACAAGCAAGCAAAGUGAUAAAAAAGAGAAUAUAUAUGAAAAUGUUCACUUAGUUAAAAGCAGCAUAAAUCAAUCUUAUAAAUACUCACUGAAUAUUAUUAAAACCAGGGCAAAGUCAAAGAAAUCUAAUGAACUGACUAAAAAUACUGGAUUAGUUCAGUCAUUAAAAUUCCAGGCACAAUUGUCACAAUUUACAUAUUAUGUCAGGAGACAGAGAAGACUUUAAAAAAAAAUGCCUAACUUCUAAAUGCAUGAUUGCACUGUUGACUAAUCUUUGUAGGCCUAAUUCAGAAAGAUUUAAGAUUUCACCUGCCUUUCACUGUUGAGUACUGUCAGGCAGGUUUUAAUAUAUUGUAGGAGUCACUGAGGUCAUUUCACUUGCAAGUUUUAUAGACAGACUUAUAUUUUGUUAGUGGAUUUUUAUGUGGAAGCUUUGUACCCUAUUGUAAUUCCAGCUAAUCAUUCCUGUAUGCUUAAUAUAGAUAAGCGGCAUUUAUUAACAGUGGCGUGAUAUAAGCGCCAUAUAAAUAGCACAUAAAGGCCAUCUGAGGUAGUACAGGAAUGCUAGAUUAAUAGUAGUAAUAUCAAAGAUUCUAAUUAAUCACAUUUUCAUUAGACCAUAUGAAUGGAUAUCAUACAAAAGAAACUACAAAAAAUGCAAUCAAAAGUUUCUGCAAGUUUAUGAGAGAUACAGACUGAAUCUAAUACAGGUCAGGACACACUGCUAUGAAAGCUGAUCCUAAUCCUCAAAGUUUUGCCUUUGACUUUAUUCUGAGACGUUCAGGCCCAAGAUUGCCUACGAGUCAAUUUGCUCUUUGGAGGUGCUGUAAAUACAAACUAAUAUUUAUUAAUAUUAACUCAUAGUCAUACACUAUUUUCUAGGGCUGUCAAGCAAUUAAAAAAUAAUGAUGAUUAAUUGCACUGUUAAACAAUAAUAG